AACGGAGGCGCUCAAAGGUUCUCUCAGUACGGUCGGAAAUCGUACGUAGAGUGUAAAGGCAAAAGAGAGCUUGAUUGCAAGACAUACAGGUCGAGCAAGGAUGAAAAUCGGACUUAGUGAUCCGGUGGGUCUGCGUGGAAGGGCCAUCGCUCAACGGAUAAAAGCUACCCUGGGGAUAACAGGCUUAUCUCCCCCAAGAGUCCACAUCGACGGGGAGGUUUGGCACCUCGAUGUCGGCUCAUC
rnacentral:rRNA from 1 species